CUUGCUUUCUCCGCUGACGAGCGGCGGACGGGUGAGUAAUGUCUGGGGAUCUGCCUGAUGGAGGGGGAUAACUACUGGAAACGGUAGCUAAUACCGCAUAACGUCGCAAGACCAAAGUGGGGGACCUUCGGGCCUCAUGCCAUCAGAUGAACCCAGAUGGGAUUAGCUAGUAGGUGGGGUAAUGGCUCACCUAGGCGACGAUCCCUAGCUGGUCUGAGAGGAUGACCAGCCACACUGGAACUGAGACACGGUCCAGACUCCUACGGGAGGCAGCAGUGGGGAAUAUUGCACAAUGGGCGCAAGCCUGAUGCAGCCAUGCCGCGUGUAUGAAGAAGGCCUUCGGGUUGUAAAGUACUUUCAGUAGGGAGGAAGGUGUGAACGUUAAUAGCGCUCACAAUUGACGUUACCUACAGAAGAAGCACCGGCUAACUCCGUGCCAGCAGCCGCGGUAAUACGGAGGGUGCAAGCGUUAAUCGGAAUUACUGGGCGUAAAGCGCACGCAGGCGGUUUGUUAAGUUGGAUGUGAAAUCCCCGGGCUUAACCUGGGAACUGCAUCCAAGACUGGCAAGCUAGAGUCUCGUAGAGGGAGGUAGAAUUCCAGGUGUAGCGGUGAAAUGCGUAGAGAUCUGGAGGAAUACCGGUGGCGAAGGCGGCCUCCUGGACGAAGACUGACGCUCAGGUGCGAAAGCGUGGGGAGCAAACAGGAUUAGAUACCCUGGUAGUCCACGCUGUAAACGAUGUCGAUUUGGAGGUUGUGCCCUUGAGGCGUGGCUUCCGAAGCUAACGCGUUAAAUCGACCGCCUGGGGAGUACGGCCGCAAGGUUAAAACUCAAAUGAAUUGACGGGGGCCCGCACAAGCGGUGGAGCAUGUGGUUUAAUUCGAUGCAACGCGAAGAACCUUACCUACUCUUGACAUCCAGCGAAUCCUGUAGAGAUACGGGAGUGCCUUCGGGAACGCUGAGACAGGUGCUGCAUGGCUGUCGUCAGCUCGUGUUGUGAAAUGUUGGGUUAAGUCCCGCAACGAGCGCAACCCUUAUCCUUUGUUGCCAGCGGUUCGGCCGGGAACUCAAAGGAGACUGCCAGUGAUAAACUGGAGGAA
rnacentral:rRNA from 1 species